AUUGAACGCUGGCGGCAGGCCUAACACAUGCAAGUCGAGCGGAUGAGUGGAGCUUGCUCCAUGAUUCAGCGGCGGACGGGUGAGUAAUGCCUAGGAAUCUGCCUGGUAGUGGGGGACAACGUUUCGAAAGGAACGCUAAUACCGCAUACGUCCUACGGGAGAAAGCAGGGGACCUUCGGGCCUUGCGCUAUCAGAUGAGCCUAGGUCGGAUUAGCUAGUAGGUGAGGUAAUGGCUCACCUAGGCACGAUCCGUAACUGGUCUGAGAGGAUGAUCAGUCACACUGGAACUGAGACACGGUCCAGACUCCUACGGAGGCAGCAGUGGGAAUAUUGGACAAUGGGCGAAAGCCUGAUCCAGCCAUGCCGCGUGUGUGAAGAAGGUCUUCGGAUGUAAAGCACUUUAAGUUGGGAGGAAGGGUAGUAACCUAAUACGUUGCUACUUUGACGUUACCGACAGAAUAAGCACCGGCUAACGUUACGUGCCAG
rnacentral:rRNA from 1 species